UGGUGGGUUCGAGUAUGUGAUAUUUCGGAACAGAGUCUAGUUCCUUCGAUAUCAAUGUUAUCUAAUAAUAAUCUUGAUUUGAUAUCGAUAUCGAAGGAAGUAGAUUCUGUUCCGAAAUAUCACAUAUUCGAAC